rnacentral:lncRNA from 1 species
AUGGAUCACAAUAAACUGUGGAAAAUUCUGAAAGAGAUGGGAAUAUCAGACCACCUGACCUGCCUCUUGAGAAAUCUGUAUGCAGGUCAAGAAGCAACAGUUAGAACUGGACAUGGAACAACAGACUGGUUCCAAAUAGGAAAAGGAGUACGUCAAGGCUGUAUACUGUCACCCUGCUUGUUUAACUUAUAUGCAGAGUACAUCAUGAGAAAUGCUGGGCUGGAAGAAGCACAAGCUGGAAUCAUGAUUGCUGGGAGAAAUAUCAAUAACCUCAGAUAUGCAGAUGACACCACCCUUAUGGGAGAAAGUGAAGAGGAGCUAAAAAGCGUCUUGAUGAAAGUGAAAGAGGAAACUGAAAAAGUUGGCUUAAAGCUCACCAUUCAGAAAAAGAUGAUCAUGACAUCUGGUCCCAUCACUUCAUGGGAAAUAGAUGUGGAAACAUUGUCAGGCUUUAUUUUUGGGGGCUCCAAAAUCACUGCAGAUGGUGAUUGCAGCCAUGAAAUUAAAAGACGCUUACUCCUUGGAAGGAAAGUUAUGACCAACCUAAACAGCAUAUUCAAAAGCAGAGAUAUUACUUUGCCAACAAAGGUCCGUCUAGUCAAGGCUAUGGUUUUCCCAGUGGUCAUGUAUGGAUGUGAGAGUUGGACUGUGAAGAAAGCUGAGCACCGAAGAACUGAUGCUUUUAAACUGUGGUGUUGGAGAAGACUCUUGAGAGUCCCUUGGACUGCAGGGAGAUCCAACCAGUCCAUCCUAAAGGAGAUCAGUUCUGGAUGUUCAUUGGAAGGACUGAUGCUGAAGCUGAAACACCAAUAUUUUGGCCACCUCACGCAAAAAGUUGACUCAUUGGAAAAGACCCUGAUGCUGGGAGGGAUAGAGGGCAGGAGGAGAAGGGGACGAAAGAGGAUGAGAUUGUUGGAUGGCAUAACCGACUCAAUGGACAUGAGUUUGAGUGAACUCCGGGAGUUGGUGAUGGAUAGGGAGGCCGGCGAGCUGCAAUUCAUGGGGUCACAAAGAGUCAGACAGGACUGA